AGAAUUGACGAGCCCAUCGCUGACAAAUUGUGACGCACGAAUCAUCCGGAAGGGAGGUGGAAGGGCAUUUCUGUCGAUUCACCGGGGCUGUUGCCAAAAGGUAUAGAGUGCGAGAGAGAGAGAGAGAGAGAUUUUUUUUUAGGAGGUAAUCGAGUCGGUAUACAGGAUGAUGAAACGGAAGAGGGCUGCCGGAGAAUAAGAGCCAGUUCGGAAUCGGGUAAUGCGCCUAUACAAUAGCAGCCUUUCUUCGAUAAGAGAUGUACACACAAGCGGAGAUAACGGGCUCCACCGAAAAAGUUGUUAG